AGUAUAACAUUUUAUGCUGCCCUGCCAGACAUACCACCAUCUGCGUCAUCUGUGCAGGAGGGUAUAACAACUGACGCUGCCCAGCCGGAGAGAAAGCCUGGGCGAUUCUCAAGCCGCUGUUGGCAAAAACAGUGCCUCAAGU